UUUCGCAAUGCCCGAAAGGGUGACGAAGCGACGCCGCGUGUGGGAAGAAGGCCUUCGGGUUGUAAACCACUGUCGGGAGUUAGGAAAUGCAGGUGCGUUAAUAGCGCACUUGCUUGACUAAGGCUCCAGAGGAAGCCACGGCUAACUUUGUGCCAGCAGCCGCGGUAAUACAGAGGCGGCAAGCGUUGUUCGGAAUUAUUGGGCGUAAAGAGCACGUAGGCGGCCUUGCAAGUCAGUUGUGAAAGCCUUCCGCUUAACGGAAGAACGGCAUCUGAUACUACAGGGCUUGAGUACGGGAGGGGAGAGUGGAACUUCUGGUGGAGCGGUGAAAUGCGUAGAUAUCAGAAGGAACGCCGGCGGCGAAAGCGACUCUCUGGUCCGAAACUGACGCUGAGUGUGCGAAAGCUAGGGGAGCAAACGGGAUUAGAUACCCCGGUAGUCCUAGCCGUAAACGAUGGGCACUAAGUAGAGGGGUUUU
rnacentral:rRNA from 1 species